rnacentral:lncRNA from 1 species
GGUAGAACAAGAGUAGAUAUUGGGAAGCAUUACUGUGCAGAGAGUGAGUCUCUGCUGAAAUUGAAACAGCUUGUCAUUUUAAUAAUAUACUCACUGAAAGAAGUAAAAGGAGGGAAAAUGAAAUAUGCUGGUGUGUCAGGUCAGAGGUUCUCCUGAGAGCCAGGGAGGGUGUUCCUCACCCAAGCUGGCAGUCUGGCUGAUACAAGGUUUUUUUAUCUCUGUCUCUUGAUGGGGCUGGAAUAGAUGCUGUUGCAGAUCAUAGUCAAAUGUUUUGAGAAAAUACUUCUAAGAAAAAGUGCAACUGAGCUAGCAUUUUUGUCUAUAUUCUCAAAAUUUGUGGACCAUAUUCAGCAGUUUGUAUGGUGGAAUGGACAUGCAGCCUUUGGCAUGGCAAAGGCAAGAACAGAGGAGGUCACUGUACUUGUACAGGUUUUCUGGAUGUCACAGCUUGCAGUGGAGCCUGGCCAGAGACUUCUACAGCUCCAGCUGAUCUCAGGAUCUCAGUUGUGUGAUGCCCAUGCAGUGCAAAGAUCAACAUGGCACCUGAGAAGCAGCAAUCUUGUGGUCCAGGUGUCCAUUCAGCAAAGGACUAAGGACAAGGUUUUCUGGAAAUCUGUGAGAUCCUCCAGGAUCAAAGCAGCCUGGCAAAGGCAAGUGCCAGAUUGGAGGACUCGGGAUGGCAAAGCAGACAGCCACACAAAAUCUAAACAUCCACCAUGAAAAAUGUGAAGCACCAGAAAAUGUUUCAUUCUGCAUCAAAAUGGAAUAACGUUUUUAUUUGCAAAUUGCGAAUGCUGAGCAAGCUAAUAAACC